rnacentral:rRNA from 1 species
GACGAACGCUGGCGGCGUGCUUAACACAUGCAAGUCGAACGGUGAAGCGCCUUCCUUUUUGGUGGGUGUGGAUGAGUGGCGAACGGGUGAGUAACACGUGAGUAACCUGCCCCCUUCUUCUGGAUAACCGCAUGAAAGUGUGGCUAAUACGGGAUAUUCUGGGUCUGUCGCAUGAUGGGUCCGGGAAAGAUAUUGUUUCGGUGGGGGAUGGGCUCGCGGCCUAUCAGCUUGUUGGUGGGGUGAUGGCCUACCAAGGCGGUGACGGGUAGCCGGCCUGAGAGGGUGGACGGUCACACUGGGACUGAGACACGGCCCAGACUCCUACGGGAGGCAGCAGUGGGGAAUAUUGCACAAUGGGCGCAAGACUGAUGCAGCGACGCCGCGUGAGGGAUGGAGGCCUUCGGGUUGUGAACCUCUUUCGCCAGUGAAGCAGGCCUGCCUCGUUUGUGGGUGGGUUGACGGUAGCUGGAUAAGAAGCGCCGGCUAACUACGUG